CACCAGUUGAAGUGUAUGAAAUCCCAUCACAUCUUUCAGCCAUUUAGACAGCGGCUGCUGGUCAACCGGAAGAGGCAGAGAGACAUCUUGGCUUCUUUCUGAAGUCUGAGGUUCUUAUAAUGCAAUGAAAGUAUUUGGGCCAUUUUUAAUGGAAAUGUCAUCCUUGAUAUUUGUGAAGCCAUCAGAGACCGGCAAACCCUCUAAAAAGCUGCUUUUUGUGUUGCCCUUGCAAAGCACGAAUGGUUAUCACACUAAAUGCCCAGUCAUGCAGCCCUUCCCUGCACACACAGCAAUAUAUUUUCCAAGCAAGCACAUGGAUGACUGUAAUGGAUGACGUUAACUCCUCCUCCGAUUCAGAAUUCCGUUGGCCCUCGUUUGCAAAGGUUGAGUAAGACGUGUGUUGUUUGGAAAGCCAUCGUCUGAACAUCUCAGCCCACAGGAGCCCACAAAAGCCUUCAACUCACACUGUUGAUGAAGAGUGGUCCCUACUGUACGACUCAUUUCCUUCUGCUUCCACAUAGCAACAGGUGGAAGCCAACUCACAGUGUCUACGUAGCCUCCUGCUUUGGAGUCCAACGCUGAGGACUGGACCACUCCCCAUAUUACUGGCAAGAGGAUGAGAUACCUUGUUCCAGGCAGUAAAUUGAUUGCGCUGAUCCAAUCGACUGUGGUGGGCUGGAUGAGUUCCUCCUCACUCCUUAGGGCCUUGAACUGGAGUGUCCGUUUAUUGAUUUGCAAAUCCCGUGCUCCAUGUUAAGUUCAUGCUGUCCUGAUGUCCGUCUCUGCUGCUUCAAAGUAGUAGCCACACACAACUUCGAAAAAAUAGACAAACAAAAGUAAAACCAUACAUUUGUAUGGCUGGAGACAGUUUCGUGGGAUAAGCUAUGGCACCGAGAGGCAGCACUUGAUAUUCCUCAUCUUCCUCCUCUACUACCCAUUCCAAUUUGCUCCAACCUUCAGCGCUGCUCCUGCUGGUCUAGGUUACCUGUCUGGUGAGAUGACCCAGACAUUUAUUUCAGAGGAAUCUGAUCCCCUGGGCGUCAUGGGCUUCUGGCUGUGGUUGUUUCAACUGACCAUUCCCAGCUGUCACCAGGCAUGAAAGCAGCAGGAGGUGUUCCAGCAGCUCCCAUGAAUUCUGGACUUCCUUCUCUCUGCCCCUACCCUAUAGGAGUGAUCCUCUAUCUUCAUGAUAAUCAGCCUCAAUUCCUCCUGUCAAUAUAGUAAUUGUUUUUUGUUUUAUUUUUUUUGGUCCCUGGACAGUUGUCAUGAGAACCCCAGAUGGCCCUAUGGUAAUUGAUUUGGGUUUGGUGGAACCCUUUCUGUGUCCCCUGAAGGAAGA